rnacentral:rRNA from 1 species
UACAGAGGGUGCAAGCGUUAAUCGGAAUUACUGGGCGUAAAGCGUGCGUAGACGGUCAUGUAAGUCGGGUGUGGAAGCCCCGGGCUCAACCUGGGAAUUGCAUUCGAGACUGCAUGGCUAGGAUGCGGAAGAGGGAAGCGGAAUUUCCGGUGUAGCGGUGAAAUGCGUAGAUAUCGGAAGGAACACCAGUGGCGAAAGCGGCUUCCUGGUCCAGCAUCGACGUUCAGGCACGAAAGCGUGGGGAGCAAACAGG